CGUAUAGUUUUUCCAUAUUACUUAUCACGCACAAAAUCCGCUCCCAGCUCUUAGACUAUAGGCUAACCAAUACUUUAAAAACAUAGAGAACAUAUUUUUAAGUUGUACUAAAUAAACAGAAUAAAAACACACAAGAUAAAGUUAACCUUUUCGCUGCGGAGCGGCUGAGAGGAUUUGCAUCCCGUUGCUGCGGCGCUAAUAGACGUCUCCCGCAGUGAAGCAAAUAUUUUUGGCUUUUAGGUUACAGUUGACUUAAUUGUCGGAAUUCUAUCAUUUGUUUUACUUUAUUAUUUUAUUUUAACUAUUUAUUGC
rnacentral:lncRNA from 1 species